GGACUACAAGGGUUUCUAAUCCUGUUCGCUCCCCACGCUUUCGCGUCUCAGCGUCAGUACCGUCCCAGAGAGCCGCCUUCGCCACGGGUGUUCUUCCCGAUAUCUGCGCAUUUCACCGCUACACCGGGAAUUCCACUCUCCUCUUCCGGACUCUAGCCAGGUGGUUUCCACCGACGUCUCGGGGUUGAGCCCCGAGUUUUCACAGCAGACCUACCAAGCCGCCUACACGCGCUUUACGCCCAAUAAAUCCGGACAACGCUCGCCCCCUACGUAUUACCGCGGCUGCUGGCAC
rnacentral:rRNA from 1 species